GAUGAACGCUGGCGGCGUGCCUAAUACAUGCAAGUCGAGCGAACGGACGAGAAGCUUGCUUUUCUGAUGUUAGCGGCGGACGGGUGAGUAACACGUGGAUAACCUACCUAUAAGACUGGGAUAACUUCGGGAAACCGGAGCUAAUACCGGAUAAUAUUUUGAACCGCAUGGUUCAAAAGUGAAAGACGGUCUUGCUGUCACUUAUAGAUGGAUCCGCGCUGCAUUAGCUAGUUGGUAAGGUAACGGCUUACCAAGGCAACGAUGCAUAGCCGACCUGAGAGGGUGAUCGGCCACACUGGAACUGAGACACGGUCCAGACUCCUACGGGAGGCAGCAGUAGGGAAUCUUCCGCAAUGGGCGAAAGCCUGACGGAGCAACGCCGCGUGAGUGAUGAAGGUCUUCGGAUCGUAAAACUCUGUUAUUAGGGAAGAAAAUAUGUGUAAGUAACUGUGCGAAUCUUGACGGUACCUAAUCAGAAAGCCACGGCUAACUACGU
rnacentral:rRNA from 1 species